rnacentral:rRNA from 1 species
CAGCCGCCGCGGUAAUACAGAGGGUGCGAGCGUUAAUCGGAUUUACUGGGCGUAAAGCGUGCGUAGGCGGCUUUUUAAGUCGGAUGUGAAAUCCCUGAGCUUAACUUAGGAAUUGCAUUCGAUACUGGGAAGCUAGAGUAUGGGAGAGGAUGGUAGAAUUCCAGGUGUAGCGGUGAAAUGCGUAGAGAUCUGGAGGAAUACCGAUGGCGAAGGCAGCCUUCUGGCCUAAUACUGACGCUGAGGUACGAAAGCAUGGGGAGCAAACAGGAUUAGAUACCCCUGUAGUCCCUGUCUCUUAUAC